AGGUGACGGAGCGACGCCGCGUGGGUGAAGAAGGCCUUCGGGUUGUAAAACCCUGUCAGGAGUUAUGAAAUGUAAGUGCGCUAAUAUCGUGCUUAUUUGACAAAGGCUCCAAAGGAAGCCACGGCUAACUCUGUGCCAGCAGCCGCGGUAAUACAGAGGUGGCGAGCGUUGUUCGGAAUUAUUGGUCGUAAAGAGCACGUAGGUGGUUUUGCAAGUCAGAUGUGAAAGCCUUCUGUUCAACGGAAGAAUUGCAUCUGAAACUGCUGAUCUUGAGUAUAGGAGAGGAGAAUGGAACUUCUGGUGGAGCGGUGAAAUGCGUAGAUAUCAGAAGGAACGCCGGCGGCGAAAGCAAUUCUCUGGCCUAUUACUGACACUCAGUGUGCGAUAGCUAGCGGAGCAAACGGUAUUAGAUACCCCGGUAGUCCUAGCCGUAUACGAUGGGCACUAAGUAGAGU
rnacentral:rRNA from 1 species